rnacentral:misc_RNA from 1 species
UGCCUGUUUGAGUGUCUUAUAAACCUCACCUCUACUGUUUUUCAUUAAACAUGUGGCUGGUGCUUUGGGUGUUGCCGUUUACUCUGGCUCGCCUUAAAUGUCUAAGUGGAAUGCGUAAUAAGUUCUUUCGCAACCCUCCACUCUAAUAACACACUUUAUACUCUGACCUCAAAUCAGGUAGGACUACCCGCUGAACUUAA